GGUAAGGAAAUAAACGAUUGUUCUUGUUGCAAACCUCUAAGUUUCAGGUGUUUCGUUUUGUUUCCACAGUCAUUGACAACCCAGGUAGUCGGCAGCAUGUCUGGUUUGUCUCCCUGUUCCCAGACCCAGCUCCAGGACCCGGUACAAAAAUAAGAGCUCAGCAGUGUGCUCACAGCCGUUCGGGUGAGAUGAUAACUGCACUGGAGACGUGGAAGCCUCUGUGGUGCAGGGGUUCCAGAGCCACACCGUACCUGCCAGAACCACAGCGGCUGAAGUGAUGCCUGAGAGCCACCAUUUCACUCAGCUCCAAAUAGGCCGUGCUCUGCAAAGAGAAGUCACUGCGAGGAGAAGCCCGAGCGCCGCAACUAGAGAGCCCAGGCACAACGAGAGGGCCCGAGCACCGCGACGAAGACCCAGCACGGCUAAAGUGGUAAAAACCCCACCUACCAAUGCAGGAGGCAUGGGCUGGACCAUUUGAUCCAGGAAGACCCCAUGUGCCUUGGAGCAACUAGCCCGUGCACAGCUAUUGAACCUGGGCUCUAGAGCCUGGGAGCCACAACUACUGAGCCCACGUGGUUCAACUACUGAAGCCCAAGCGCCCUAGAGCUUGUGCCCCACAGCAAGAGAAGCCACUGCCACAACUAGAGAGGAGCCACGACUCCACUUGCCACGACUGGAGAAAAGCCCGGGCAUCAACGAAGGCCCAGCACAGCCAAAAAUAAACCAUUUUUUAAAAGAGAAAGAGCUGUCACUUCUCCUCCAUUUACUUAUUUAUUUAUACCAGUAUAGACUCAUGGAUAUUUGUUUUAUUCCAUGGGUAACAGUCCCUUGCAAUCUAUGCUAGUUAAUUUUAUGUGUCAACUUGACUGUAUCAGAGGGUGCCCAGAUAUGUGGCUACAUAUUAUUUCUGGUUGUGCCUGUGAGAGUAUUUCCAGUUGAAACUAACGUUUGAAUCAGUGGACUCAGAACCAGUGAAGAAGUUUGCUCUCCCAAAUAUGAGUGGGCUUCAUCCAGCCCCUGAGAGCUUCAGCAGAAUGAAAACGUGGAGGAAGGAAGAAUUCACCCCUUUACCUGAUUCCUUGAGCUGGCCAUAGAUCUUUUGUCCUUGGCCAUCCUUGUUUUCGGGUCUUCAAAUUCAGAAGUAAUUGAACCACCGCUUUCCUGGGUCUCCAGCUUGCAGACGGCACAUAGUGGGACUUUUCCACCUCCAUAAUUGCAUGAAGAAAUUCCUAAUAACCAGGGUGCCCAACCUCCCAGAUCUAAUGCCUGAUGCUCUGAGGUGAAGCUGAUGUAAUAAUAAUAGAAAUAGAGUGUACAAUACAUGUACUGUGUUUGAAUCGUUGGAAACCAUCCCCGCCCCCCGUUGUGGAAAAAUUGUCUUCCAAGAAGCCAGUGCCUAGAGCCAGAGAAGUUGGGGACCACUGCUUAUACUAAAUCCCUUCGUAUCUGUAUCCUAUUGGUUCUGUUUCUCUGAAGAACUCUAAUACACUAUCAUUGUUUAUUUUAUUGUUCAAAUUGUCCCAGAUUAAGCCCUGGGGAGCUCCUUCAGGUUGACUCAUCUGGCUCCUUGCUUUCUGUCACUAGGUGAUAUUCCAGAUUCAUGAUAUACCAUCUCUGCACCAGCCCCAAAAUGAACCAUUUUUCCGAAGAGCCCUGAUUCCUUUUCACAGAAGAACGGAAUUUAAGAACCAAGAACAGGGCAUCAGCAGUGCUCAUUGUUACUGGGGUGUUAUCGCCUCCAGGUCCUCUCAGUGGAUAGAGUAGGAAAUAUGUAUGUCUGUACCCAUCUAUUUAUUUCUAGAUCUACUCAUCUGUACAUAUGUAUUCAUCACACAAGUUUAUACUAAUGCCUUUGAUUCUCAUCCAACAUCACAGGGAUCUUUCUAGCUUUCCCCUUUUCCUACUUGUAAUUCUUCUCUGACAGUGAGAAAUCGGAUUCUCAUAAUUUACAAUCUUCUAUUUAUGUGCUUAGUACAUGUAAAUAUUAAAUAGGUUCAGAAUUUCUAACCCACAUCUCUCUGAGAAACAAAUUUGCUACUAAGAGUACAAUACUUGUAUUGUUCAGUUCUUUUUUCUUACAGUAGUUACUCAAAGAUUAAAGCUAGAAUCAAGAUUGCCAGGAGAAAUAUCAAUAACCUUAAAUACACCACACUUAUGGUAGAAAGCAAAGAAGAA